UACGGGGGGGGCAAGCGUUGUUCGGAAUUACUGGGCGUAAAGGGCGCGUAGGCGGCCUUCUAAGUCAGACGUGAAAUCCCCCGGCUUAACCUGGGAACUGCGUCUGAUACUGGGAGGCUCGAGUAUGGGAGAGGGAUGUAGAAUUCCAGGUGUAGCGGUGAAAUGCGUAGAUAUCUGGAGGAAUACCGGUGGCGAAGGCGGCAUCCUGGACCAUUACUGACGCUGAGGCGCGAAAGCUAGGGGAGCAAACGGG
rnacentral:rRNA from 1 species